GCUAUUUAGGUAGCGCCUCGUGCGAACAUUCCUGGGGGUAGAGCACUGUUAUGGCUAGGGGGUCAUUGAGACUUACCAAACCAUGGCAAACUCCGAAUACCAGGACAUGCUACACGGGAGACACACGGCGGGUGCUAACGUCCGUCGUGAAAAGGGAAACAACCCAGACCCGCAGCUAAGGUCCCAAAGUCAUAGCUAAGUGGAAAACGAUGUGGAAAGGCAUAGACAGCCAGGAGGUUGGCUUAGAAGCAGCCACCCUUUAAAGAAAGCGUAAUAGCUCACUGGUCGAGUCGGUCUGCGCGGAAGAUUUAACGGGGCUAAGCUAUGCACCGAAGCUCGGGGUGUACAGAUUUUGAUCUGUACGCGGUAGAGGAGCGUUCCGUAGGCCUGUGAAGGUGGAUUGUAAAGUCUGCUGGAGGUAUCGGAAGUGCGAAUGCUGACAUGAGUAACGAUAAAGGGGGUGAAAAGCCCCCUCGCCGAAAGCCCAAGGUUUCCUCGCGCAACGUUCAUCGGCGCAGGGUGAGUCGGCCCCUAAGGCGAGGCAGAAAUGCGUAGUCGAUGGGAAGCAGGUUAAUAUUCCUGCACUUUUCUAUAGUGCGAUGUGGGGACGGAGAAGGUUAGGUCUACCAGGCGUUGGUUGUCCUGGGGAAAGGCGGUAGGCAUGUGUCUUAGGCAAAUCCGGGACACUCUAUGCCGAGCACCGAGACGAGUCCUAUGAGGACGAAGUGACUGACACCACGCUUCCAGGAAAAGCCACUAAGCUUCAGCUAUAGAAAAACCGUACCGUAAACCGACACUGGUAGGCAGGGUGAGAAUCCCAAGGCGCUUGAGAGAACUCGGGUGAAGGAACUAGGCAAAAUGGCACCGUAACUUCGGGAGAAGGUGCGCCCCUUGGUGUGGUCACGUGCGUGACUGAGCACCGAGGGGUCGCAGUAACCUGGCCGCUGCGACUGUUUAUCAAAAACACAGCACUCUGCAAACACGAAAGUGGACGUAUAGGGUGUGACGCCUGCCCGGUGCUGGAAGGUUAAUUGAUGGGGUCAGCCGCAAGGCGAAGCUCUUGAUCGAAGCCCCAGUAAACGGCGGCCGUAACAAUAACGGUCCUAAGGUAGCGAAAUUCCUUGUCGGGUAAGUUCCGACCUGCACGAAUGG
rnacentral:rRNA from 1 species